rnacentral:rRNA from 1 species
AUUGAACGCUGGCGGCAGGCCUAACACAUGCAAGUCGAGCGAGCGGCGGACGGGUGAGUAAUGUAUGGGGACUGCCCGAUAGAGGGGGAUAACUACUGGAAACGGUAGCUAAUACCGCAUACUAUCGGAUAACCCAUAUGGGAUUAGCUAGUAGGUGAGGUAAUGGCUCACCUAGGCGACGAUCCCUAGCUGGUCUGAGAGGAUGAUCAGCCACCGGGGGACUGAGACACGGCCAAGACUCCUACGGAGGCAGCGGUGGGGAAUAUUGCACAAUGGGGGCAAGCCUGAUGCAGCCAAGCCGCGUGUAGGAAGUAGGCCCUAGGGUUGUAAAGUACUUUAAGGCGGGAGGCGUUACCGACAGAAGAAGCACCGGCUAACUCCGUGCCAGCAGCCGCGGUAAUAC